UCCGCUGUCUUUCUGCUAGCUUGUGGCUGGGCAGGCUUGAACGGUUCGUGGUGUCCUGCUCUGAGCUCUGCUGUGGGUGCUGUGAGCUGACCUCAAGUAAUGUCUGAAAUCGAGACAUGGAUGCAGUGAGUUAUGAAGAUGUGCAUGUGAACUUCACUGCGGAAGAGUGGAAUUUGCUGGAUCCUUUACAAAAGAGCCUUUACAAAGAUGUAAUGCUGGAAACCUACUGGAACCUCACUGUUAUAGGCUACAAUUGGGAAUACCAUCAUAUUGAAGAACAUUGUCGAAGUUCCAGAAGAUAUGAAAGGCAUGUAAGAAGUCAUAGUGAAGAGAAACCCUAUGAAUGUAAUCAAUGUGGUAAAGCCUUUUCAUAUCCCCGUCAUCUCCAAUAUCAUAUAAGAAGACAUACUGGAGAGACACCUUAUGAAUGUAAUCAAUGUGGUAAAGCCUUUGCAAGACCCACUUAUCUCCAAAGACAUAAAAGAACACAUACUGGAGAGAAACCUUAUGAAUGUAAUCAAUGUGGUAAAGCCUUUUUAUUUCCCAGUGAUCUGCGAUAUCAUAAAAGAAGACAUACUGGAGAGAAACCUUAUGAAUGUAAUCAGUGUGGUAAAGCCUUUUCACAACCCAGUCAUCUCCAAUAUCAUAAAAGAACACAUACUGGAGAGAAACCUUAUGAAUGUAAUCAAUGUGGUAAAGCCUUUUCUCAUCAGAGUACUCUCCAAUAUCAUAAAAGAAUACAUACUGGAGGAAAACCUUAUGAAUGUAAUCAAUGUGGUAAAGCCUUUUCACGUCAGAGUAGUCUCCAGUAUCAUAAAAGAAUACAUACUGGAGAGAAACCUUAUGAAUGUAAUCAAUGUGGUAAAGCCUUUGCAAGACCCAGUUAUCUCCAAAUUCAUAAAAGAAUACAUACUGGAGAGAAACCUUAUGAAUGUAAUCAAUGUGGUAAAGCCUUUUCACAUCAGGGUGGUCUUCAAUAUCAUAAAAGAACUCAUACUGGAGAGAAACCUUAUGAAUGUAAUCAAUGUGGUAAAGCCUUUUCACAUCAGAGUGGUCUCCAAUAUCAUAAAAGAACACAUACUGGAUAGAAAUCUUAUGAAUGAAAUCAAUGUGGUAAAGCCUUUGCAAGACUCAAUAAUCUCAAAGAUCAUAAAAGAAUACAUACCAGAGAGAAGCCUUAUGAGUAUAAUUAAUGUUGUAAAGCCUUUCUAUGUUACAGUACUCUCCAAUAGCAUAGAAGAAAGCAUACAGGAGAUACACCAUAAGAAUGUAAUCAGUGUGGUAAAACCUAUUCAGAUGAGAGAUGUCUCAAAAGAUAUAAAAGAAGACAUAUUGGAGAAAAACCUUAUGAAUGUAACUAAUGUGAUAAAAGCUUUUUCUAAAAGUUCUUGUAUCCAAAACCACAAAAGAACCCAUAUUGGAGAAAACUUUACAAAUGUAAUCAAUGUGCUAAAGCCUUUGCAUUUCUCACUAGUCUUGAAAUCAUUAAAGACUCCACACUGGAAAGAAACCUCAUGAAUGUAAUCAAUAUGGCAAAAAAGUUUGUACAACUUUGUAAUCUCCAUUGUAGUGGGUGGGUGGAAGAACACUCACAUAUGAUGGGUGCCAGUGAGUGGAAUGUGCUAGUUUGAAUAUAUUUGGCCCAGGGAGUAGCACUAUCAGGAAUUGUGGCUGUGUUGAAGAUAGUCCACCACAGUGGGGGUGAGCUUGAAGUUCAACCCCAUGCUCAAGAGACCCUCCUACCUGCUGCCAAGAAGACAGUCUCUUCCUGGGUCCUUACAUCAAGAUGCAGAUCUCUUAGCUUCUUCUUCAGCAUUAUGUUUUCUUGUAAGCCAACCAUGCUUCCUGCUAUAAUGAAAAUGGAGCAAACCUCUGAAACUGUAAGCCAGCCCCAAUUAAAUGUUUGCUUUUAUAAGAGUUGCCUUUGUUGUGCAAUCUUUUCCUAGCAAUGGCAAUGCUAAGACAAAAACUCUGUGAAAGUAUUUAAUAUGGUGAAGCCUUUGCAGAGUCCUGUAGUCUUCCAGGUCAUGUAUGAAUUAGUACUAGGGAGAAACUUUAUUAAUGUAUUUAGUAUGGUAAGGCCUUGGCUCACCUCUGUAUUCCUUAUCAUUAUGAAUCUAUUCAUACAGUGCUUUGCUUCAUCACAAGUUGUUCACAUAAAAGAAAGCAAGAUGUAAGGCUUGAAUACAAAAAACCUAUCCAUAUUGGUAGUAUCAUCUGUGAAGAUUAGUAAAUGCUCUCCAGAUAAAGGAAUUAUAUCACUUGGGGUGGACUUGAGUGUUUACAUAUGUACACCAUUUCUAGUUGCCACUCUGCUUUAUGCUGCAGAUUAAGGAUGGAAACUCUGAGCUUUCUGGUUUAGAUGCCAUGUGAGAGACUUGUUCAAUUGCUAUUUUCAUGCUGACCACAUAUCUGUUUGAAACUAUAAACAAAAUAAAGUUUUCUUUCAACUUUUUUUUUUUAAAAUGUCAUAGGACCAGAAAAGGCACUAAUGCACAUCCUAAAAUUUUACACUUGGAUGAGUUAUUUUCUGUAAUUAAUGAGAUUUGUAAAAUCUAAAAGGCUUACUUUACUGUUUGAAUUCAUAGGGCUUUUGUCCUUAGGAGCUUGAAGUAAAAAAAAAAAAUACAGAAGGAUACCUCAAUAAUUCCUUCUCCAGAAUAAAUAAUCUUGUGUACCUCUAA